CAGUCGCCACGGUAAUACAGAGGGUGCGAGCGUUAAUCGGAUUUACUGGGCGUAAAGCGUGCGUAGGCGGCUUCUUAAGUCGGAUGUGAAAUCCCUGAGCUUAACUUAGGAAUUGCAUUCGAUACUGGGAAGCUAGAGUAUGGGAGAGGAUGGUAGAAUUCCAGGUGUAGCGGUGAAAUGCGUAGAGAUCUGGAGGAAUACCGAUGGCGAAGGCAGCCAUCUGGCCUAAUACUGACGCUGAGGUACGAAAGCGUGGGGAGCAAACAGGAUUAGAUACCCCAGUAGUCCCUGUCUCUUAUAA
rnacentral:rRNA from 1 species